rnacentral:rRNA from 1 species
GACGAACGCUGGCGGCGUGCUUAACACAUGCAAGUCGAACGGAAAGGCCCUGCUUUUGUGGGGUGCUCGAGUGGCGAACGGGUGAGUAACACGUGAGUAACCUGCCCUUGACUUUGGGAUAACUUCAGGAAACUGGGGCUACUACCGGAUAGGAGCUCCUGCUGCAUGGUGGGGGUUGGACAGUUUCGGCGGUUGGGGAUGGAUUCGCGGCUUAUCAGCUUGUUGGUGGGGUAGUGGCUAACCAAGGCUUUGACGGGUAGCCGGCCUGAGAGGGUGACCGGCCACAUUGGGACUGAGAUACGCCCCAGAGUCCUACGGUAGGCAGCAGUGGGGAAUAUUGCACAAUGAGCGGAAGCCUGAUGCAGCAGCGCCGCGUUCGGGAUGACGGCCUUCGGGUUGUAAACCGCUUUCGCCUGUGACGAAGCGUGAGUGACGGUAAUGGGUAAAGAAGCACCGGCUAACUACGUG